CCAUCUCAAUUGUUUAAUGUUUCCAUUUCAUUCUAUUCGUUUGUUUUCUUUUUCUUUGCCAUCUGAAAAUACAAUGCACAGAUUUGUUAAA
ensembl:snoRNA F26A10.28 ncRNA